rnacentral:rRNA from 1 species
UACGAAGGGGGGCUAGCGUUGCCGGAAUCACUGGGCGUAAAGGGUGCGUAGGCGGAUCUUUAAGUCAGGGGUGAAAUCCUGGAGCUCAACUCCAGAACUGCCUUUGAUACUGAGGAUCUCGAGUUCGGGAGAGGUGAGUGGAACUGCGAGUGUAGAGGUGAAAUUCGUAGAUAUUCGCAAGAACACCAGUGGCGAAGGCGGCUCACUGGCCCGAUACUGACGCUGAUGCACGAAAGCGUGGGGAUCAAACAGG